AUGAACAGCUGCCUGCACACCUCCAGCAACGUCACCCUCCUGACGUCCUCGGUCUCCAGCGUGACCGGAAUCGUUUUCCUCCUCCUGGCCGCUCUGAUCGGGCUGCCGGGCAACCUGUUUGUGGUGUGGAGCAUCCUGUGGAAGAUGAAGCCCAGCUGCCGCUCAGUCACCUGCCUGCUGGUCCUCAACCUGGCCAUGGCCGACGGGGCCGUCCUCCUGCUCACGCCCUUCUUCAUCCUCUUCCUCACUUUCAAGACCUGGUUCUUCGGCCUUGCGGUCUGCAAAGGCGUCUACUACCUUUGUUGCGUCAACAUGUACGCCAGCAUCUUCAUCAUCACACUCAUGAGCGUGGACCGCUGCUUGGCCGUCAGCCGGCCCUACCUCUCCCAAGCCAUCCGCAAGAAGCACCUGGUGGUCAAGAUCUUGGCCGCCCUCUGGGCAGCGGCUGUCUUGUUGGCUGUCCCAGCCUUCGUGUACCGGCAGCUGGUGUCAGACCUGUCAGGGCGGUGGCUGAUCUGCGAGCCGUGCCAUGCCACACGGGGCCUGGCUGUCUUCCACUUCACCAUGGAGACAGUGGUGGCCUUUGUGGUGCCCUUUGCAGUCAUUGUGGGCUGCUACUCCGCCAUCUUGGUGCGGCUGCGGGGGCGGCGGUGGCACCGCCGGGGAGCACGGACGGGGAAGCUCAUAGCCGCCGUGGUGCUCUGCUUUGCUGCCCUCUGGGUGCCCUACCACGUGGUCAACGUGCUGCAGGUGGCCUCCAACAUGGCCUCAGGGAGGGUGGCGGAGAGCCUGGGCCAUGCGUGGAAGGCUGGCCGGGCGGGGGCCACCGCCCUGGCCUUCCUCAGCAGCAGCAUUAACCCCGUCCUCUACGUCUUCGCCGCCGGGGACCUGAUCAAGACCUCAGGGGCCAAGUUCAUUGCCCAGUUCUUCGAGGGGGCCUCCGGGGAGGUGCACAAGAAGUCGCCCUCCCAGAGGGACCUAGACAAGGACACAGUGGCAGGGGAAGGCAUGGAGAUAGGGCAGCUGCAGGCAUGGGGGGAGGGGGCCAAGCAGGACGGGACCAUAGGGCAGUUGACACCCCCUGGACAGGAUCCACACCAAGCUGCAGCCCCUUAGCCUUCCCUUAUGCAGUCCUACUUGUUCACUGCCCUUGCGGGUGCUUUCCCUUUAAGGGUGAAGUUUCUCUCUGCUGGACAUGAUUUCUCAUGGACACUUUCCCUUUAAGAGCAGGUCCUCACGGACACCUCCCCUUUAAUUUGCUCUUAAAGGAGAGUUUCUCGCUGCCAGACAUUUCUCACUACUGGAUAUUGGUCUUCAUGGACACUUCCCCUUUAAUUUGCUUUUAAAGGGAAGUUGUGCCAAACAUUUCUCACUGCCAGAUUCUGGCCCUCAUAGAUGCUUCCCCUUUAAUUUGCUCUUAAAGGGGAAUUUCUUACUGCCAAACACUGCUGCCUUACGUUCUUGUGCCCCCCUCCCCCCGGUGUCAUGGGACACGCCCUUCACAGGCAGUUUAUCCCUGCCAGGCUCCAUCCAGCAUGGAGACUUUCCCUUUAAGAGUGGAAUGUCUCAUUGCCAGACUCUGAUCCUCAGGGAGAUGUCCCCUUUAAGGACACCGUUUCUCACUGCCAGAGUCCAAAUUUCAGGGUCACUUCCGCUUUAAGGGGCAUUUAAAGGGGAAUGUCUUUGUGCUGGACUCCCAUUCCCAUGUUGUAUUAAUGGGAGCAAACUGCUGCCUCCUUGUGGUGAAAUGUGGGCAUUGCGAGUCCAGGUCAUAGACGAGAAAGACAUAGGAACUGCCCUGCUCCCAGACUGGCCCCAUGACCCUGCCGGGUGCGGCCCAGGGCACAUGCCGCUGUCCCUUGCCCCAUGGACUCAUGCGGUUACCACCUGUAGGUGCCGUGAAUACAGAGCAGCACCCAUUCUGCCCAAUAACUGCCUCUUAUCCCACAGGCCGUGCAGAAGACAGGCCAGGCCAGCUACUCACCUGAUGUAAUACAAAGGUUGUUAUAUGGGUAGCGCUACCCAGUCAAUGUUCCUGGGGUCUGUCCCCCUCUCUGGGAGGGGAGUGGUGUCUAGUGGUUAGAGCAGUGGUGGCUGAGAGCCAGGACUCCUGGGUUCUAUCCCUAGCUCUGGGAGGAGAGUGGGGUGUAGUGGGUUAGAACAUUGAGGCCUGGGCAUCAGGACUCCUGGGUUCCAUCCCUGGCUCUGCCACUGAUCUGCUAUGAGUCCUUAGGCAAGAAACGUCCUCUCUCUCUGCCUCAGUUUCUCCUCCCAUCCCUUGUCUAUUUAGUUUGUAAAUAAGGCAGGAGUUGGCUGUCCUUCUGAGUCUGUGCAACACCCGACACAAGGGAGGGCCCCCCGAUCUCAGUCGGGGGUCUGUGCAGCACCUGGCACAAUCUGGGUUCUGAUCUCGGUGGGGAUCUCUGCAGCACCUGCCACAACAGGAAGGCCUGAUCUGACUCAGGUCACCUCCCCCGAGACACCCAGCUCUCAGCGGGGCGGAUCUGCCUGUGGGUUACCCAACGCUGCUGAAGCUUCCGCUGGAUGCUCGUACCCGCUGACUCAGCCACCUCGGAGCAGCCAGACGGGCUGGGGUGAUUCUGAGAGACACCCCACAGCUGAUGCGGCUGGAGGAAGCUUUGACUAGGGCAAGAAGGUCCUAAGGAUUAACCACCCUUCUCUCGCCCCGAUGACCAACGUCACCUUCAACGCCACUGCCCAGCCAGGUGCGCUGCCCCCGUUGCCCGGCGCCAAGCUGGGGCUGACCGUGCUCUCCUUGGCCUUCAUCCUGGGCUUCCCGGGCAACAUCUUCGUGGUGUGGAGUGCUCUCUGGCGUGUCCAGAAGCGCACAGUCACCUGCCUCCUCAUUCUCCACCUGGCCUUGGCCGACUGCGCCGUGCUGCUCACUUCCCCUUUCUUCCUUCGGCUCCUGAGCGCCGGAAAGUGGGAGUUCGGCCCUGUGGUCUGCCAGCUGUGCCACUAUGUCUGCGGCGUCAGCAUGUACGCCAGCAUCUUCCUCAUCACCCUCAUGAGUCUGGACCGCUGCUUAGCUGUCACCAAGCCCUUCAUCUCCCAGAAGAUCCGGACCGCCCUGGUGGUCAGGUCCUUGGUCCUGGCCAUCUGGAUGGUCUCUUUCCUCCUUGCCUUGCCCGUCAUUUUCUACCGCAAGCUGGUGCACAGGGGCAGGCACCUGCUCUGCGACCUGUCCCAUCCCGCCACUGGCCACCUUGUCUUCCACAACCUUUUUGAGACCCUGACCGGCUUUGUGCUGCCCUUCACUGCCAUCAUCUGGAGCUACUGCGUCAUCGGGCGCAGGCUGCAGGAGACCCGCUUCCGGAGGAAGCGCCGCACCAACCGGCUCAUUGUGCUGAUUGUGGCUGCCUUCGCCCUCUUCUGGCUACCCUUCCACGUGGUGAACAUCCUAGACGUGGCUGGGGCUCUGAGCCACUCCAAGGGUCUCAUCAUGGCUGGGAAGUUGGCCCGGCCCACCCUGACGGCCCUGGCUUUCUUCAGCAGCAGCGUCAACCCCAUCCUCUAUACCUUCACCGGCGGUGCCUUGAUUAAGUCGGCCGGCAUAGGCUUCAUGGCCAAGCUCUUUGAGGGGACGGCCUCAGAGAUGUCCAGCACGCGGCAGGGGACGGGGCGGACCAUCCAGCGGCGCGAGGAGGCCAAGUUGGAGAUGCCGCAGGAUGGGAACCCAGAGAGCAUCACCGUUUCCACCAACCCCCUGGAGUAGCCCUCGGCCAUGUGGGACAGGCACUUCGACAAUCCCAUCUCAUCCAGCAACACCCUGGACUAGACCUGGGGCCAUGUGGGACUGGAGCACCACUAAUCCCAGCACAUCCACCAUCGCUCUGGACUAGCGCUAGGGCAUGUGGGAUGGGAACUCCUAACAAUCCCACCUCAUCCAUCAACACCUUGGGCUAGUCCUGUGUCCGUGUAGAACAAGAAUGGAAAAAAUCUUCCAACUGGCUCCUUCAUAGAAUAUCAGGGUUGGAAGGGACCUCAGGAGGUCAUCUAGUCCAACCCCCUGCUCAAAGCAGGACCAAUCCCUAAUUUUUGCCCCAGAUCCCUAAAUGGCCACCUCAAGGAUUGAACUCACAACCCUGGGUUUAGCAGGCUAAUGCUCAAACCACCGAGCUAUCCCUUCCCACCUUCAUGGAGCGAUGGUGAAACUGUCAAGAAUUUGCUGGGAGAGUGUGUUUGCUUCUUAUUUGGGGGUUGACCUGGUCUGAACAACCUUCCCGCAACAUCCAUUUCCCCGUUUCUCACCCAGCUGUGACUUUGCGGGAACAAACCCAGACUCCAAUAUCUCCACCUUGACACCAACAGGGACUGGCCCAGCUACACCAGGAGAAUAAUUAGACUUUGUGUAAAUACGGAAAAGGGACUCCAGUCUGAAUGGGGAUAUAUGAUUUAGGGAGUGAAGGCGCUGCCAUUGUUCUGUGGAGAGGAAGCACCCCAUCUGUUCAAAUGGCAGGGAAGUGAAAGUUGAGGGGUAGAGGAGAACGGUUGAGGGACAGAGGCAGGUGGAGGGGGAAGAGACGGAGAGAAACAGGGUGAGGGUGAGAGGGAUGGAGGGAACGUUGAGAGCUGAGGCUGGGCGAGUCCAUGUCUUCAGGAAGUUACAAGAGGCGCUUGAGGCUGCACUGGCCCCAUCCAAGAGCAGGGCCCCCAUUUUGCCAGGCACUGCACAAACCCACAGUGAAAAAGCCCCUGCUUCUAGGAAUUGCAGACUAAAUGGGCAAAGACAGGAUUAUCGUCCCUAUUUUGCAAAUGGGGAAACUGAGGCAUGCGGGAAGUGCAGCGACUUGUCAAAGGUGAUAUAGGGAGUCUGUGGCAGAACAAGGAAUAGAAUGCAGGUGUCUGGGGACCCAGUCCAGGGGCCUGAACCGCAAAACCAUCCUUCCCCUAAGUCUAUUUUCACAGCCGGAUAAAAAGGGAGUCUGGGAUUUCACCAGGUGCUUUCCUAUCUCCCAUCUGAGCGGAGAUGUGUGGUUGGCUGCUCCCAGUGGCCAGCUUGGGUACUGCACGCCAUCGUUCCAUAGAGACGCGCCUAAAAGCAGCUAUUUUAAGCUCUGGCACCUGCUUAAAACCAGGGUAGUAAGUAUGCAAUUCAUCCCGUCUAGGGGGCACCAGCUCAGAUCCAGCCCCAACUUGGGGGGGGGGAUGACUGGCUGGCUUAGCGGGUGGGGAACGGGACACACGGCCUAUCCCUGCCAGGGGGCGCUGGCUCCAACCCAGCCCCUCAGCGUGUGAAUUCACCCUCUGUGUUAAUUUGCUUAAUUAAAGGAAAGUUUCUUUGUA